UAAAAAGCUAGUUAAACAUAACUCUGGACUGUCAGACCAAAAUUACUGGUAACCACCCCUGUGCUUUUUAA
rnacentral:tRNA from 1 species